rnacentral:rRNA from 1 species
GUGGGGAAUAUUGGGCAAUGGGCGAAAGCCUGACCCAGCAACGCCGCGUGAGGGAAGAAGGUCUUCGGAUUGUAAACCUUUGUCCUAUGGGACGAAACAAAUGACGGUACCAUAGGAGGAAGCUCCGGCUAACUACGUGCCAGCAGCCGCGGUAAUACGUAGGGAGCAAGCGUUGUCCGGAAUUACUGGGCGUAAAGGGUGCGUAGGUGGCCAUGUAAGUCAGGUGUGAAAGACCGGGGCUCAACCCCGGGGCGGCACUUGAAACUGUGUGGCUUGAGUACAGGAGAGGGAAGUGGAAUUCCUAGUGUAGCGGUGAAAUGCGUAGAUAUUAGGAGGAACACCAGUGGCGAAGGCGACUUUCUGGACUGUAACUGACACUGAGGCACGAAAGCGUGGGGAGCAAACAGGAUUAGAUACCCCUGUAGUCC